rnacentral:lncRNA from 1 species
AUUAUCCACAAUCUUAAUCCCAGUAUCAUACCCUUAAUCCACAUUUACACACCAUAAUCCAGUCACCCUCUAAACUCCCCACCUGUGACUGCAUGGGGCUUUGAGGGGACAUCUAGAUACGAGACAUAAUAAUAAUUGAGGUCACUGUUGAUACAGAGCCCAUCAUAGAUGAAGGUUCAACAGCUGGUGUAUCCCAGACCCACGGACCAGAGUUCACCAGAGGCAUAUCCCAGGAGGACACACAGACUUCAAAGCCCAUCAUAGAUGAGGAUUCAAUAGCUGGUGUAUCCCAAACCCAGGGACCAGAGUCUACCAGAGACAUAUCCCAGGAGGACACACAGAGUUUGAGUAAGUGAAGGCCUUGCUUCAGAGGAGGCCUGGGCAACCAUUGCUGCCCCCUGCCCCCCACCUCCUGCAUGCCUGAAUGAAUCCCUGCUUUCCUCCAGUGUAUUGAAGUCCUGCCAUUAACUGGUAGCCACAUCUAUGCUUCACAUUUUACCCUCAGAAUCCUCUACUGCCU